AAAAAACACCGAGGUCUUCGGGUUGCUAGGAGCUCACGUUCAUCCGGGUGCACAAUCUGGAAGUUCUUGACCGAAGCCCGAGUGACACGACCGUGAAAAUUGAAUGCGCCUUGGGAGGUCGGGAGAUGACAGGAAUGUCCUCCAUGGUCACUUCCUCCACGUCCGAAUCUGAGCUGUCUGGGAGCCAGCAUAGAUGACGCACUGCAGGGCCGUUGCCCCGAGUGGAUGCUGGAGAAAGAAGUUUCCAAAUUUGAUAUCCUUUGACCAGCCACGAUGCCUACUUCUGUGCCCGGCAGGACCCCUUUCCUUUUCCUUCCA